UCUUUUAUUUUGGGACAAAAGGUUCUUGCUUGGAACCAUAAAUGGUUAGAUAGGAAAGGGGGGAAAAUGUUGAACCCCUGGAUAGGCCCUUAUUUGAUCAAUAAAAUAUUUGAUAAGGGUGUAUAUGAAUUAAUAACCACGAAUAAUCUCAUAUUAAAAACAAAAUAUAAUUUAUCCAAUUUAAAAGAAUUUAUUGUAAGAAACAAUGAAUAUCCAGAUGAAAAUGAUAGUAGUUCCCAAAAUGGCCUUUAUGAUGAAAUUAUUCCACUUGCUACGGAGUUUGUUGAUCCAAACUCUUCCAGAGGUA